rnacentral:rRNA from 1 species
UGAACGCUGGCGGCGUGCUUAACACAUGCAAGUCGACCGGAAAGGCCCAAGCUUGCUUGGGUACUCGAGUGGCGAACGGGUGAGUAACACGUGGGUGAUCUGCCCUGCACUUCGGGAUAAGCCUGGGAAACUGGGUCUAAUACCGGAUAGGACGAUGGUUUGGAUGCCAUUGUGGAAAGUUUUUUCGGUGUGGGAUGAGCUCGCGGCCUAUCAGCUUGUUGGUGGGGUAAUGGCCUACCAAGGCGUCGGCGGGUAGCCGGCCUGAGAGGGUGUACGGCCACAGUGGGACUGGGAUACGGCCCAGACUCCUACGGGAGGCAGCAGUAGGGGAUAUUGCACAAUGGGCGCAAGCCUGAUGCAGCGACGCCGCGUGGGGGAUGACGGCCUUCGGGUUGUAAACUCCUUUCGCUAGGGACGAAGCGUUUUGUGACGGUACCUGGAGAAGAAGCACCGGCUAACUACGUG